rnacentral:rRNA from 1 species
CCUACGGAGGCAGCAGUGGGGAAUAUUGCACAAUGGGCGCAAGCCUGAUGCAGCAACGCCGCGUGAGGGACGACGGCCUUCGGGUUGUAAACCUCUUUUAGUAGGGAAGAAGCGAAAGUGACGGUACCUGCAGAAAAAGCACCGGCUAACUACGUGCCAGCAGCCGCGGUAAUACGUAGGGUGCAAGCGUUAUCCGGAAUUAUUGGGCGUAAAGAGCUCGUAGGCGGUUUGUCGCGUCUGCUGUGAAAACUGGAGGCUCAACCUCCAGCCUGCAGUGGGUACGGGCAGACUAGAGUGCGGUAGGGGAGAUUGGAAUUCCUGGUGUAGCGGUGGAAUGCGCAGAUAUCAGGAGGAACACCGAUGGCGAAGGCAGAUCUCUGGGCCGUAACUGACGCUGAGGAGCGAAAGCAUGGGGAGCGAACAGGAUUAGAUACCCUGGUAGUCCAUGCCGUAAACGUUGGGAACUAGAUGUAGGGACCAUUCCACGGUUUCUGUGUCGCAGCUAACGCAUUAAGUUCCCCGCCUGGGGAGUACGGCCGCAAGGCUAAAACUCAAAGGAUUGACGG